CUCAGGAUGAACGCUAGCGGGAGGCCUAACACAUGCAAGCCGAGCGGUAGGUUUCCUUCGGGAAACUGAGAGCGGCGCACGGGUGCGGAACACGUGUGCAACCUGCCUUUAUCAGGGGGAUAGCCUUUCGAAAGGAAGAUUAAUACCCCAUAAUAUAUCAGAUGGCAUCAUUUGAUAUUGAAAACUACGGUGGAUAAAGAUGGGCACGCGCAGGAUUAGAUAGUUGGUAGGGUAACGGCCUACCAAGUCAACGAUCCUUAGGGGGCCUGAGAGGGUGAUCCCCCACACUGGUACUGAGACACGGACCAGACUCCUACGGGAGGCAGCAGUGAGGAAUAUUGGACAAUGGGUGAGAGCCUGAUCCAGCCAUCCCGCGUGAAGGACGACGGCCCUAUGGGUUGUAAACUUCUUUUGUAUAGGGAUAAACCUACUCUCGUGAGAGUAGCUGAAGGUACUAUACGAAUAAGCACCGGCUAACUCCGUGCCAGCAGCCGCGGUAAUACGGAGGGUGCAAGCGUUAUCCGGAUUUAUUGGGUUUAAAGGGUCCGUAGGCUGAUUUGUAAGUCAGUGGUGAAAUCUCACAGCUCAACUGUGAAACUGCCAUUGAUACUGCAAGUCUUGAGUGUUGUUGAAGUAGCUGGAAUAAGUAGUGUAGCGGUGAAAUGCAUAGAUAUUACUUAGAACACCAAUUGCGAAGGCAGGUUACUAAGCAACAAC
rnacentral:rRNA from 1 species